rnacentral:rRNA from 1 species
CAGAGGGGGCAAGCGUUGUUCGGAAUUACUGGGCGUAAAGGGCGCGUAGGCGGCCCGCUAAGUCGAACGUGAAAUCCCCGAGCUCAACUCGGGAACUGCGUCCGAUACUGGCGGGCUUGAAUCCGGGAGAGGGAUGCGGAAUUCCAGGUGUAGCGGUGAAAUGCGUAGAUAUCUGGAGGAACACCGGUGGCGAAGGCGGCAUCCUGGACCGGUAUUGACGCUGAGGCGCGAAAGCUAGGGGAGCAAACGGGAUUAGAUACCCCGGUAGUCCUAGCCCUAAACGAUGUAUGCUUGGUGUGGCGGGUAUCGAUCCCUGCCGUGCCGAAGCUAACGCAUUAAGCAUUCCGCCUGGGGAGUACGGUCGCAAGGCUG